rnacentral:rRNA from 1 species
GACGAACGCUGGCGGCGUGCUUAACACAUGCAAGUCGUACGGUAAGGCCCUUUCGGGGGUACACGAGUGGCGAACGGGUGAGUAGCACGUGAGUAACCUGCCCACAACUUUGGGAUAACGCUAGGAAACUGGUGCUAAUACUGGAUAUGUGCUCCUGCUGCAUGGUGGGGGUUGGAAAGCUCCGGCGGUUGUGGAUGGACUCGCGGCCUAUCAGCUUGUUGGUGGGGUAGUGGCCUACCAAGGCGGCGACGGGUAGCCGGCCUGAGAGGGUGACCGGCCACAUUGGGACUGAGAUACGGCCCAGACUCCUACGGGAGGCAGCAGUGGGGAAUAUUGCACAAUGGGCGCAAGCCUGAUGCAGCAACGCCGCGUGCGGGAUGACGGCCUUCGGGUUGUAAACCGCUUUCAGCAGGGACGAAGCUUUUUGUGACGGUACCUGCAGAAGAAGCACCGGCUAACUACGUG